rnacentral:rRNA from 1 species
UACGGAGGGGACUAGCGUUGUUCGGAAUUACUGGGCGUAAAGCGCACGUAGGCGGAUUUGUAAGUUAGAGGUGAAAGCCCGGAGCUCAACUCCGGAAUUGCCUUUAAGACUGCAUCGCUUGAAUCCGGGAGAGGUGAGUGGAAUUCCGAGUGUAGAGGUGAAAUUCGUAGAUAUUCGGAAGAACACCAGUGGCGAAGGUGGCUCACUGGACUGGUAUUGACGCUGAGGUGCGAAAGCGUGGGGAGCAAACAGG